rnacentral:rRNA from 1 species
GACGAACGCUGGCGGCGUGCUUAAUACAUGCAAGUCGAACGGACAGGCCCUGCUCUUGCGGGGUGCUCGUGUGGCGCACGGGUGAGUAACACGCGAGUAACAUGUCCCUGACUUUGGGAUAAAAUCAGGAAACUGGGGAUCAUAUCGGAUAGGAGCUUUUGAUGCACGGUGGGGGUAGGAAAGAUGCGGUGGUUGGGGCAGGACUUGCGGCAUACCCGCUUGAUGGUGGGGUUGUAGCUUACCAAGGCUUGGACGGGUAGCCAGCCUGGGAGGGUGACCGGCCACAUAGGGACAGGGGUGCGACCCGGACGCCUACGGGAGGCAGCAGUGGAGGAUAUAGCACGAUGGGCGGAAGCCUGAUGCAGCGACUCCGCGUGCGAGAUGAGGCCUUCGGGGUAUGAACCGCUGUCGCCUGUGACGAAGCGAGAGUGACGGUAAUGAGUAAGGAAGCACCGGCUAACUACGUG